rnacentral:rRNA from 1 species
AAUAGAUACCCCGGUAGUCCACGCCGUAAACGAUGAGUGCUAAGUGUUAGGGGGUUUCCGCCCCUUAGUGCUGCAGCUAACGCAUUAAGCACUCCGCCUGGGGGAGUACGGUCGCAAGACUGAAACUCAAAGGAAUUGACGGGGGCCCGCACAAGCGGUGGAGCAUGUGGUUUAAUUCGAAGCAACGCGAAGAACCUUACCAGGUCUUGACAUCCCACUGACCGCUAUGGAGACAUAGCUUUCCCUUCGGGGACAGUGGUGACAGGUGGUGCAUGGUUGUCGUCAGCUCGUGUCGUGAGAUGUUGGGUUAAGUCCCGCAACGAGCGCAACCCUUGUCCUUAGUUGCCAUCAUUUAGUUGGGCACUCUAAGGAGACUGCCGAUGACAAAUCGGAGGAAGGUGGGGAUGACGUCAAAUCAUCAUGCCCCUUAUGACCUGGGCUACACACGUGCUACAAUGGACGGUACAAACGGUUGCGAAGUCGCGAGAUGGAGCUAAUCUGAUAAAACCCGUUNUCAGUUCGGA